rnacentral:lncRNA from 10 species
UCACCCCCAUCCGUCUCCAGAACUUUCUCAUCUUCCCAAACUGAAACUCUGUCCCAAUUAAAUAAUAACUCCCAUCCCCCACUCCUCUAACCCUUGGUAACUACCCUUUUACUCUCUGUCUCUGUCAAUUUGGUUACUCUAGGCACCUCAUGUAAGUAGAAUCAUACAAAAUUUGUCCUUUUGUGACUCGCUUAUUUCACUGAGCAUAAUGUCCUCAAGGUUCAUCCAUGUUGUCGCACGUGUCGGGGCAACCACUCAUCCCUUCUGGCUACUUAUUGCCCUGUGGGAAUGCAGGUCCAGUUUUCCAGAUCUUCCUAAUUUCCAGGAAAAACAAGAUAUCCAGUUUCUAAUGUAAGAUCUUCCAGUUUUAAAUUUGACAAAAAUUCUAAAAUUUAUGUCACUACCAGUCAUGCAUUGUUUUAGUCAUGAAUCUUCAAGGCUGAAACUUUUCUGAAACAUUAACAAUAAAAACUGUUUUUCAUCAACCAUGCUGUAGGAAAGACUGACUUCUAUCUUUCUACUCUCUGUAGGAAAUAUCACAAAGGUGUUACCAUAUGGAGAGGUGAGGAGGAGUGUGCUGCCCAAAAAGUGGUGUUUCAGGCUCUUGUAUAAUCA